UGGGGAAAGUUUUAUGGGGUGCAAUGAAUUCACAAAAAAUAUUUUCUAUACAAUAUUAACCGUAAAUUCAAUAUUUAACCGACUACAAAAAAGGAGGAGG